GUGAGGUGAGCAGUUUAGAGUCUUGAGACUUGAGAGAGGCGGAGAGCAGAGAAUCAGAGAGAGGCUGAGGACAGACUGAACAGUGGAGACUGGAGACUAGAGAGAGGCGGAGAGCAGAGACUAGAGAGAAAGAUUGGUGGGAAAUGAAGAAAGGAGCGCACCCCCAGUUGCAAUGGAUAUCCUAUGUGACUCAGAGUGGAAGAUUGAUGAACGUUAUGAUGACCAAAAUACACCAGGUUGGUAAAGUCUACCACUUCAGGGCGAAACGUCAAAUGGCUGAAAGUGUAGGGCAGAUUGCCAAGUUUAGGCGUCGAUAUGAAGAAAAAGAGAAUGAUGAAGACAAAGAAAAGUGACUUUUUCUAGGAUGCAAUCGUAAUAUUCUUGUCAGAUUUAAUGAAUAUUAAUCUUUGGAAUAAAAAUGAAUCUGGUGAGUAUUCUAGAGAACAUGUGUGUUGCUAUGUUUUGUGACUGGUUAAAUUUUGACAAAUAUUUCCAUUUGGAUCAUGUAAUUUGUCUUUGGCAGUUUAAGGUACCUGUGAGUUUAUCAAAUUCAAGAUUUUGAGUUCCUGCCAGUUCUAAAGUAACUCUUAUUUUGUCACAAGGGUUAUAUUCUACCUUUAUCAUAAUGAAUACUUGUCAAUUUUA